AGUAAAUAGAUACCCAGGUAGUCCACGCUGUAAACUAUGCGUGCUGGACGUUGGCCAGCCUAGCUGGUCGGUGUCGUAGCUAACGCGAUAAGCACGCCGCCUGGGGAGUACGGUCGCAAGAUUAAAACUCAAAGGAAUUGACGGGGGCCCGGCACAAGCGGUGGAGCAUGUGGUUUAAUUCGAUGCAACGCGAAGAACCUUACCAGGCCUUGACAUGGGGGUUUUGGGUCGGAGAAAUCUGACCCUUCAUUUAGUUGGGUCCCCGACCACAGGUGCUGCAUGGCUGUCGUCAGCUCGUGUCGUGAGAUGUUGGGUUAAGUCCCGCAACGAGCGCAACCCUCACCUUCAGUUGCCAGCGGUUCGGCCGGGCGACUCUGAAGGAACUGCCGGUGACAAGCCGGAGGAAGGCGGGGAGUGACGUCAAGUCCUCAUGGCCCUUACGGCCUGGGCUACACACGUGCUACAAUGGUGGUGACAAUGGGAUGCAAAGGCGCGAGCCCGAGCCGAUCUCAAAAACGACCAUCUCAGUUCAGAUU
rnacentral:rRNA from 1 species